rnacentral:rRNA from 1 species
GAUGAACGCUGGCGGCGUGCCUAAUACAUGCAAGUCGAGCGAACAGACGAGGAGCUUGCUCCUCUGACGUUAGCGGCGGACGGGUGAGUAACACGUGGAUAACCUACCUAUAAGACUGGGAUAACUUCGGGAAACCGGAGCUAAUACCGGAUAAUAUAUUGAACCGCAUGGUUCAAUAGUGAAAGACGGUUUUGCUGUCACUUAUAGAUGGAUCCGCGCCGCAUUAGCUAGUUGGUAAGGUAACGGCUUACCAAGGCGACGAUGCGUAGCCGACCUGAGAGGGUGAUCGGCCACACUGGAACUGUGACACGGUCCAGACUCCUACGGGAGGCAGCAGUAGGGAAUCUUCCGCAAUGGGCGAAAGCCUGACGGAGCAACGCCGCGUGAGUGAUGAAGGUCUUCGGAUCGUAAAACUCUGUUAUUAGGGAAGAACAAAUGUGUAAGUAACUAUGCACGUCUUGACGGUACCUAAUCAGAAAGCCACGGCUAACUACGUG